UUCUGAACCGGUAUCGUUACUGUUUAGAAAACAAAACAAAAGGGACAUUAUCUCUCCCGUGUGGCCGCUCCACCGCCAACCUCCUCUCCCAUGGCUCCGGCCGCCGCCCCGCGCCCCACUUUCUCCCCUGGCUCCGGCCGCUGCUCCGCGCCCCCAUCUUCUUCCCUGGUUCUGGCCGCCGCCCCGUGCCUCACCUUCUCCCUGGCUUCGGCCGCCGCUCCGCGCCCUCCUUCUUCCCUGGCUCCGGCCGCCGCCCCGCGUCUCACCUUCUUCCUGGCUCCGGCCGUCGUCCCGCGCCUGACCUUGUCCCCUGGUUCCGGCCAGCGCCCCACGCCCCACCUUCCCCCCAGCUCCGUCCGGCACCCCAUGCCCCACCUUCUCCCAUGGCAGCGGCCGCCGCCCCUCCCCCAUCCCCAGCGCGCCAAACCCCAGUUCUCCACCUACCCCAUCGUGACGCCGCCCAUUCUUCUUCCUCCUGACUUCUCCUAGCCAUGGCGAGCGCCUCCUCCCUGCUCCAAGCUCGCUCCAGACUACGCAGAGUCGCCAACCCCCGCCGCCUCGCGUGGAGUACAACCCCGCCCAUGUACGAGGUUCAAAGACCUUAUAUAGAGAAGGAAAGGAGAUGUUAACGUCGGCAUCUUCCUCGUCGCCAUCCCGUUUCGUGCACUGUCCGAUCAAUUCUACCGUAGCUCCGAACAACAGGAGUAAAAUAAAGCAAGUUCAAGUAAAAUCUCAAAUAAAAAUUCAGUUCAAGUUGAAGCCCAGGAGUAUACCCAUAUGGAUCAGACACGACAGUCGAUCUUGUUGAUGAUUCUCAAUAAAUAGAUGGUGAAGUUGGCAAACAGCUGAAUCAGAUGGUGCCUACCCCUAAAGAUUAACAGUUACAAGUAACUGCAUUUUGUCGAAAGUUCUUCGGUAUAGCCCCCUCUCCAUCAAAGUAGAAUAUUGUUCCAUUCAUUAUUUGGGCAGGAACCUGCUGUUUAAAUCCUCCUUUGGCUUGGCUGGAACAUGAGUUUCAGUAACUCUUGCACAAAUUAUGGGGAAUUCCACGUUCUGAAUUGGACUUUUGAACUAAACAGGAAAGUUAUCACGUACUGAUUCUAUUCAUCAAACAGUACAUCUCAUACAUAAUUUCAAGUGGGAAAUGAGACAUACUAGUUCCUUAUGAUGACAAUUUAGUACUGCACCAUAUUAUCAAUAAAGAUAUGGAACAGAUGUUUUCACCAUGUUUCAGCCCCAUAUACUUGUAAAGUUGUAAUCAACAGCUUACAACAUGGUGUAUUUCUUACCAAUUUCAUUUUAUCUACACAAUUUUCAGAAUGGCCUAACACAAAGUACUUACACAAACACAUAUGAGAUUGCCACGACAUGCCGGUGCACAAGACGCCGCAACCACGCCCCCCCACGCGCCGCCGUGACUACCGUCCUGCACUAGCCGCCAUGGCCACCAACCACAGUGGCGACUAGGGAUCGAGGCGUGGCCUGCUCAGGCGGGUGCUCGCACGCUGCAGUGUUGCUUCUCCGGCGAGGACGCCAUGCUGCACGGUGUGCCACACCACCGCAUCUCUGUUUUCUUCGUACAAACACAUUAUCACAGCGAGUAUGGAUGCGGCACCUUGGGGAAUAAUGCCUCCAAUGUGCAAGCCCAGGAUGACGACGCUGAUCACUAGCACGAAGGAUACCAAGCAGGCUAAGGAUGAAGUACACGAUGCAGGCAAGGAGGACAACCAAAACAUGCAAUCCGUACACAUAGCAGCAGCUGCAAGUUCGUCUGUCUAUGAUGAUAUGAUUGCAACUUCUUAAAAGAAGACUCUUGGACUUUCACAUGCUCUGCCUUCAUUCAUGUAGAUCUGCAAUCCUAUUGUUGGCUUAGUGGUGCGUACCAACCUAAACAUAGUUCUUGUGAUGAAAAAUGCCCUGCAUGUCACAACCCUAGAUUUCUGCUUGUAAUUAGUGGCAUUGCAUCCAUGCAUCAUUUUCAAUUUCAAUUAAUCUUGAAAUGGGGAUGUUCAAACCCUAGCAUCACUUGAAUCAAACUAGGUUCAACUAAAAAUUGCAUUCAAUGAAACCAAAAUGAUCCUUAUUGAUUUUUGGUAUUUUUGGCAAGGGAUUUGAUCCAAACAAAAAAUAAUGAACAUUUUUAAGGAACAAUUUGGGCACUGAAUUUAAGUCAUAAAGUAUUUGAAUUGGGGCAUUUAAUUGCUAUAAAUAUUACUAAAUGCUCCAACAAUUCUAAAAAUAGCUAAGGGCCCGUGAGAUAAUUCAGUAAUUGCCCAUAAUUAAUUUCAGGAUUUAUAGAAGUGAUUUGGUGUUGUUGCUAAAUCAAAAACAAAUUUGCAAAUUAGAAAACAGAACAAAAGUAGAAAUUAGAAGGAGAGAGAAGCCACCUGAACUUACCUGGCACUUUUGGCCCAACACUGUGCACCCCGGCCUGCCACCGCUGCCAGUCAUCUCCCUCCUCUUGCCAGAAGGCAGAGGAGAAGCGGAGCACGCCCCCGCGCGAGCGCGCCACGCCGGCAGCAGCUUGCCUGCCUCCCCAGCUCUCUAGUCGCGACGCGGAGCUGCCACGAACCCCUCUGCCUCUUCCCCUCUCUCUGGUUCCUCCCUCUCUCCCUAGUGUUCGCGCGCGCAGCCACCGAGCGCCUCGUAGCGCGCCGACGAGCACUACCACGGCCACCGGCCUCCACACGCCUCCCCAACACGCCAAGAAGCUUCGCCGUCGACCUCUACACCGUCUCAGCCAAGCCACGCGAGCGGAAGCGCCCUGCAGCGUCGUCCCCGACCUCAUCUUCAACCUCUGACCGCCGGCAACCUCACCGUGGAUUCGCGAGCUCCAGACCCUCCCCGAUCCCGCCGUUGCCUCUGAUGGAUUCGCUGUGAGCCUCUGCCCCUUUCCCCUCUCUCCCCGCACUCGUCCGCGUCCUCUAACCACCGUGGCCAUCGGAGCCGAUAGCUCCUCGCCGUCGGCCAUGUCGCCACCGCGGUUACGGCCGUGCAAGCACGCGUCCGAGCUCACCACUGAACUCACCGCACUCCCGCGAGUCGAACACGACCAUCCACGACUCCUCCCGUGCCCCGCAUCGCCCAAACCGUUGUUGGCCGUACUCCGGCCGCCGCCUCGCUCGCCGCCGGCGCUGCUCCCGGCCACCCUGCGGCCUCCCGUCCGGUCCUUGGAUGCGGACGAGCAAGAGCUCCUCCCCGACGCCCUCAGCGCGCCAAACCACCGCCCGUAGCUCAAAUCCGAGCCGCGCCGCCGUCGAUUUGGUCACCGUGGGCCAGGCUCCGGUGACCGCCGAUGUGGCCGCCAUUAGUGGCUAUUUGCGCCACUAAUUAAUCCUCCACUGAAACUGACAGCCGGGCCCCACCGCCUAACUAACCGGCUAACUUAAUAAGAUUAAGUUUAAUCUAAUAACAGCGGGCCCAUGUGUGAGUUUUGACUACGCUGACGUGGUCGUUGACCCGACCCCACCUGUCUGUUACUCUAGGCAGCUCUGGGUCACUGGCCAGUGGGCCCCACUGGUCAGGCUUGACCUGGUCAGCGCUGUUGACUUGCUGACACAAGCAUGAUACAGUGCUGAUGCUGUAAAUGAUUUUCUGGAUUUAAAAUAAUUCAGGAAAUUUCAGAAAAUGUCCUAAACUUCUAAAAAUCAUAGAAAAUAAUCUGAAGCUCCAAAUGAAAUAAUUUAUAUAUGAAAAAUUAUUAGAAAAAUCCAAAGAAUUUGUUUAUAGCAUUUUCAUGCAUUUUUGAACAACUUAAAGUUCCUGUAUAAGACAAUUUGAACUAAUGGCAUUUGAAAUGUCUUAUGUGGAGUUUGAAUUUGAAUCUAGUGUUCAAACCAACUCCAUUUAAAUCGUUGCUAGCUGCAUUAGCUCAAAUCACAGCAUAUUGCCAUGUCACAUUCAUGCAUCAUAUUGUUGCAUUGCAUUGAUUGUGUUCCCUCUUGUUUGCCGGUGUUUGUCCCCUCUCAGUAGACGUGGUUCCGACGAUGAGAUCGAUGACACCGAU